CCUACGGGUGGCAGCAGUGGGGAAUAUUGCACAAUGGGCGCGAGCCUGAACCAGCCAAGUCGCGUGAGGGAUGAAGGUUCUAUGGAUCGUAAACCUCUUUUAUAAGGGAAUAACGUGUGGGACGUGUCCUAUUUGUAUGUACCUUUUGAAUAAGGAUCGGCUAACUCCGUUCCAGCAGCCGCGGUAAUACGGAGGGUCCGAGCGUUAUCCGGAUUUUUUGGGGUUAAAGGGGGCGUAGGGGGCCUUUUAAGUCAGCGGUGAAAGUCUGUGGCUCAACCAUGGAAUUGCCGUUGAAACUGGGGGGCUUGAGUAUGUGUGAGGCAGGCGGAAUGCGUGGUGUAGCGGUGAAAUGCUUAGAUAUCACGCAGAACCCCGAUUGCGAAGGCAGCCUGCCAAGCCAUGACUGACGCUGAUGCACGAAAGCGUGGGGAUCGAACAGGAUUAGAUACCCCAGUAGUC
rnacentral:rRNA from 1 species